AAGGCCUUAGUUUAACAAAGACAUUUGAUUUGCAUUCAGAAGAUGCGAGAUAAACUCUCGUAGGUCUU
rnacentral:tRNA from 1 species